UCUAUAAAUUAUCGGAUAAAUGUCAAUUAAUCAAUUCGACCCGACCCAGUGAUUUUAACUCAUGGAAUCGUCCGAUACCAAAUCUGCGGGAAAUACUGAAGCGGAAUAGAAUUAAUUCUGACGAACCUGAUACGUAAUUUAAAGCCUGGCCUAUACAACUUAGUGCGAAGUGCAUGAACUCUAUCAAUAAUCUAUCUUGAAAAAUUAAUUCUACGCUAGUACUAUCCUAAACUUAUUUCACAGAUACUUAAAACUCCUUUUUCACCCGUAGUGAUAAAAGUUUUGCGUUAUUUUUUAUUUGUAAUAUUAUUGAGCAAUUUAUUAUUUUGUAUAUUACAUAAUGCUGCUCUUGUUGCACACAAUAUGUGCC
rnacentral:lncRNA from 1 species